rnacentral:rRNA from 1 species
CCUACGGGUGGCAGCAGUGGGGAAUAUUGCGCAAUGGGCGAAAGCCUGACGCAGCGAAGCCGCGUGAGGGAUGAAGGUCUUCGGAUCGUAAACCUCUGUCAGCAGGGAAGAACGGUCACUGUGCUAAUCAGCAGUGAAUUGACGGUACCUGCAAAGGAAGCACCGGCUAACUCCGUGCCAGCAGCCGCGGUAAUUCGGAGGGUGCGAGCGUUAAUCGGAAUUACUGGGCGUAAAGCGCUCGUAGGCGGUAUGUCAAGUCAAGGGUGAAAUCCCCGCGCUCAACGUGGGAACUGCCUUUGAAACUGGCAAACUGGAGUGUGUGAGAGGAUAGUGGAAUUCCAGGUGUAGGAGUGAAAUGCGUAGAUAUCUGGAGGAACAUCAGUGGCGAAGGCGACUAUCUGGCACAUAACUGACGCUGAGGAGCGAAAGCGUGGGUAGCAAACAGGAUUAGAUACCCGUGUAGUC